GUUGGCUUGGAAGCAGCCAUUCAUUUAAAGAGUGCGUAACAGCUCACUAGUCGAGGAGUUUGGCGUGGAUAAUAAUCGGGCAUUAAGUAUUCUACCGAAGCUUUGGGAUGUGUAAACAUCGGUAGGGGAGCAUUCCACUCAGCGUUGAAGGCGAGGCGUGAGCCUUUCUGGAGCGUGUGGAAAAGCAAAUGUAGGUAUAAGUAACGAUAAAGGGGGUGAGAAACCCCCUCGCCGAAAGACUAAGGUUUCCUGAUCAACGCUAAUCGGAUCAGGGUUAGUCGGGUCCUAAGGCUCAGCCGAACGGCGAGGCCGAUGGCAGAACCGGUUAAUAUUCCGGUACUACCUCAAGGAGUGACGUGGAGACGGAGCAGUGACAGUGCCGCGGACUGACGGAAUAGUCCGUUAAAGGGUGUAGAUGUUGAUUCCUGCAGGCAAAUCCGCAGGAAGAGUCGAACCUGACAGUAUGGAGCGUCCUUCGGGACAAUCCAAUAGUGCAUGUAAACAUACUCCCGAGAAAAUCCGCUAAACUUAAUCCUUGUGGUACCCGUACCGCAAACGGACACACGUAGUCGGGUUGAAUAUACUAAGGCGCUUGAGUGAUUCACGGUUAAGGAACUAGGCAAACUGACCCUGUAACUUCGGGAUAAAGGGUCCUCAGGGUGACUUGAGGCGCAGAGAAUCGGUCCAGGCAACUGUUUAACAAAAACACAGGGCUGUGCGAAAUAGAAAUAUGAAGUAUACAGCCUGACACCUGCCCGGUGCUGGAAGGUUAAGAGGAGAUGUCAUCGCAAGAGAAGCAUUGAAUUGAAGCCCCAGUAAACGGCGGCCGUAACUAUAACGGUCCUAAGGUAGCGAAAUUCCUUGUCGGGUAAGUUCCGACCUGCACGAAUGGUGUAAUGAUCUGGACACUGUCUCAACCGUGAGCUCAGUGAAAUUGUAGUAUCGGUGAAGAUGCCGAUUACCCGCGAUGGGACGAAAAGACCCCGUGAACCUUUACUAUAGCUUAACAUUGAAUUUGGGUAAUUGAUGUGUAGGAUAGGCCGGAGGCUUCGAAGCAGGUACGCCAGUAUUUGUGGAGCCGCUGUUGAAAUACGGCCCUUUGAUUAUUUGAGUUCUAACCCGUGGAUACGGGGACACUGUUUGGUGGGUAGUUUGACUGGGGUGGUCGCCUCCAAAAGCGUAACGGAGGCUUCUAAAGGUGCCCUCACGACGAUUGGUAACCGUCGGCAGAGUGUAAUGGCAUAAGGGCGCUUGACUGGGAGACUAACAAGUCGAUCAGGUAGGAAACUAGAGCAUAGUGAUCCGGUGUUUCCGUAUGGAAGGGACAUCGCUCAAAGGAUAAAAGGUACUCCGGGGAUAACAGGCUGAUC
rnacentral:rRNA from 1 species